AUGCUCGCUUUGGCAGCAAAUAUACUAAAACUGGAAUGAUGCCGAGAUCAGUAUGGACUCUGUGGAAAGAUGAUGCACAAAUUCAUGAAGCAUUCCAUGUUAAA
ensembl:snRNA U6 U6 spliceosomal RNA